rnacentral:rRNA from 1 species
UGGGGAAUAUUGGACAAUGGGGGCAACCCUGAUCCAGCCAUGCCGCGUGUGUGAAGAAGGCCUUUUGGUUGUAAAGCACUUUAAGCAGGGAGGAGAGGCUAAUGGUUAAUACCCAUUAGAUUAGACGUUACCUGCAGAAUAAGCACCGGCUAACUCUGUGCCAGCAGCCGCGGUAAUACAGAGGGUGCGAGCGUUAAUCGGAAUUACUGGGCGUAAAGCGAGUGUAGGUGGCACAUUAAGUCACAUGUGAAAUCCCCGGGCUUAACCUGGGAACUGCAUGUGAUACUGGUGUAGCUAGAAUAUGUGAGAGGGAAGUAGAAUUCCAGGUGUAGCGGUGAAAUGCGUAGAGAUCUGGAGGAAUACCGAUGGCGAAGGCAGCUUCCUGGCAUAAUAUUGACACUGAGAUUCGAAAGCGUGGGUAGCAAACAGG